rnacentral:tmRNA from 4 species
GGGAGCGACUUGGCUUCGACAGGAGUAAGUCUGCUUAGAUGGCAUGUCGCUUUGGGCAAAGCGUAAAAAGCCCAAAUAAAAUUAAACGCAAACAACGUUAAAUUCGCUCCUGCUUACGCUAAAGCUGCGUAAGUUCAGUUGAGCCUGAAAUUUAAGUCAUACUAUCUAGCUUAAUUUUCGGUCAUUUUUGAUAGUGUAGCCUUGCGUUUGACAAGCGUUGAGGUGAAAUAAAGUCUUAGCCUUGCUUUUGAGUUUUGGAAGAUGAGCGAAGUAGGGUGAAGUAGUCAUCUUUGCUAAGCAUGUAGAGAUCUUUGUGGGAUUAUUUUUGGACAGGGGUUCGAUUCCCCUCGCUUCCACCA